rfam:Dipodomys ordii contig_40115, whole genome shotgun sequence.
GGGAAGCUGGCUCAGUGGUAGAGUGCUUGCCUUGAAUGUAUGAGGUCCUGGGUUCGAUUCCUCAGCACCACA